rnacentral:rRNA from 1 species
GAUGAACGCUGGCGGCGUGCCUAAUACAUGCAAGUCGAGCGAACAGACGAGGAGCUUGCUCCUCUGACGUUAGCGGCGGACGGGUGAGUAACACGUGGAUAACCUACCUAUAAGACUGGGAUAACUUCGGGAAACCGGAGCUAAUACCGGAUAAUAUAUUGAACCGCAUGGUUCAAUAGUGAAAGACGGUUUUGCUGUCACUUAUAGAUGGAUCCGCGCCGCAUUAGCUAGUUGGUAAGGUAACGGCUUACCAAGGCAACGAUGCGUAGCCGACCUGAGAGGGUGAUCGGCCACACUGGAACUGAGACACGGUCCAGACUCCUACGGGAGGCAGCAGUAGGGAAUCUUCCGCAAUGGGCGAAAGCCUGACGGAGCAACGCCGCGUGAGUGAUGAAGGUCUUCGGAUCGUAAAACUCUGUUAUUAGGGAAGAACAAAUGUGUAAGCAACUAUGCACGUCUUGACGGUACCUAAUCAGAAAGCCACGGUUAACUACGUG